UUCCGUAUCCUUUAUGCUCGCGUCACUUCCUGCUUCCUUCCUUUCACCUUUUUCGAGGCUUCGCCUGUGGAAAUCCGCGCGACUCCGGGGCCGAGUGGUUUCCAGCGGGUCUUUGCUUUGUUUUGUUUGCUCGGUCUCCCAGGAGCCUACCGAGGCCUGUCUCUGGAACACCCUGUCAUGGAUCGCGACCCCCGGCCAGGUUCCCACGGCUGCGGUUCAUGGAGCUGACCUGUGUGCCGCGCCUGAGGGGCCUCUUCGUCCUUGGCAAGCCCGGUAUACUGUGUCAGUGCUGGUUGGAAAGAAUAUCUAUUUUUACCCUGUGGCUUCGCAAACAGAACAAUACCUGAAGGGGGGCGGUGGCAAGUGCAGUCCCUGUCAUUAUUAAGUGCGUGCUUAGUGGCAAGCUCUCUGAUGUUCGCUUGAUCCUCAGCUUACAGCUUGACACUCAAAACACCAGUAAUUUGCUAAGGCCAAACAUCAGAUGAAGAAACAGUUCACAUUUGAUCAGGAUGACAGUAGUAGGAGUUGGGAAUUUGGAACCUACUAUAUCUAAUUCCAGAUUAACUCCAGUGCUUAUAGGUAGCUACUUCAAAUAGUAAAGGCUCUGUUUCUGGGCUAUGCUAUGUAGAAUAGAUAAGCCUACACAAUGGACACAACAAAUCUGGGAGAGUAAACAGUAUUAGAAACAAGGGGAACAUACAGGUCUUUAAAAUAAAAAAAAAUUUUUUUUUUUUUUACAUAGCCAGUACUAACUUGAAAAUUUGACUUGGAUAAUCUAGGAAAAUACAAAUAUCCAAAAAUUGGCUCAACAACUAUAUAAUCAUGAAAGACUAUUCCAAAGUAAUCUAUCCUUGGCAUAUAUCACCAGGGGAAAAGCAGGACAAAAUAUUUGCCAAAUAUGAAGCUAAUAUAAUUUACAAUUCUAAAUAUAAAAUUCAUUACCUGUGAACCAGUAACUGUGUAAAGUCUUCUAAAUACUGUGCUCAGAAAGAUACUGUAGUCAUUAUAAUACUUUACAGUUAGGAGUAAAAAAGUCCAUAAAAUAAUGGUUACGUUUUAUACUGCAUGUGUCAGAUUGAACACAGAGACGAGAGGACUCAGCCUGUAAACAUGCUGGAUGGCCUGAGUUGGAUCCCUGAGAGCCCACAUAAUGGUGGGAGAGAACUGACUACAAAUUGUCCACUGACUUUUGCACUCAUGUGGCACACACAUACCCAUUCCCAAAUGAAUGAAAAAAUUUAAAAAAUAGUGGUAGAAAUGUAGUCUACAGGAAUCCAUGUGGUUAUAAUGCAUUGGCAGUUGAGAAAAUGAAUACUCUAAUUUCGGUUGUAAAAAUUACUCUUAAGAGAAUUUUAACUUUGGAAAGAACCUGUACCAAAUUAAUUGAUCAUGUUUUAGAGCACAAAAAGAGGCAUGGAAAGAGACUUUUAUACUUGUUUCUUAAAUCUUUAGUAUAAAAAUUAUGGAAGCAAAAACAUCCCUAUCCUAUAAAUCAAAAGACAGUUUUAAAAACGGUCCAUGAUUAAGUAGCCAAGGAAAAGCACACUGGUUUUAGCAAUGUCAGCGAUACAGCCACAGCAGUUUUAAUAAAAAUCGAGCUACAAGUUUGGACUGUAUAGGACUUCAAGGUAAGUUGACAGGAAAAGUAGUUUCCCCAUUGAAGAAGGGGAGGGAAUUCCUGCUGGAGUGGCUACAUCAACAUUCCAGACUAGGAAUUGUUUUCAGAUAGGAAACUGUAAUUCUAACUAAUAAUAGUUGUCCACACCUGUUUUAUUUGUAAAUUGGUCUCUUUAAAAAAAAAUUAAGAUGGGGGGUUCAUGUUUGCAUGCACGAAUCACAGCAUUCCAAGGCCAGAGGAAACUAUUGAAGCCCUGGGAACUGGAGGGACCGUUGUGAGCCCCCUUGGUGGUGGCUAGAAUUCAAAUUUUUAGAGUUCUCAAAAAAAGCCACCAGUACUAUUAACUGCUGAGCCAUCUCUAGUUCUCCCCUUUUUCUCUGAACUGAGAUGAUAAAACAAGCUAAUCUCCCAUAAUUAGCUCUAGGCACGAUUCUAGAGGGAGUGGGUCAAAACAGUUUUGACAACUGUUUCUAUUCCUUUGUCCUCAUGUACUCCAUAAACUUUUUCUCCCACAAAUAAGACAGUCUCACUAUUUUGCCCAAACUCCUGGGCCCAAAUGAUUUUUUUUUCCUCUCUCAGCAUCUCCCAAGUAGCCAGGACCAUGUCAUUGCACUGUGUUCUGCCCAUUUACUCAAAAGCAUGUCUCCUUUUGCCUUGGACAUCCUGUGGCUGAUUUUUGGCUCUUGGUUUACUUGUUUGCUGAACAACAUACUACCUACCUCAAAGAAUUGACCCUAUUUUAAGUUACAGAACUACCAUCAUAGGAAUUGAAACUGCCUGUUUUUCCUUAAUUUUACAUUUGUCUGGGUGGAGGAGAGGGUCAUACAUGCCGCAGUGCUCAUGUGGAAGUCAGAGAAUGACUUGUGGGAAUUCUUCUACCACAUGUUUUUUUUUGAUACUAAACACAGCUCAUAUGCCUAAGUAGCUUUACCUGAUGGAUCAUCUCACUGGCCCUCAAAUUGAAAGCCAUUCUUGGCAAUAGCCUCCUAAGUUUUCAUUCUCCCUGCCCAUUUUCUCAUUUUGCAGCUCAAACCCAGGGUCUUAUAGAUAAGAAAAUGUUCUACCACUGUAUAGUGUCAGCCCCUAUCUGAUAGGGUCUAUGAAGGUUAAGCUGUCCUUUAACUUGUGAACUUCGUUCUGUUUUAGAAAGACUAGGAUUACACCACACCUGGUCAGUUUUAUCCUCUUUGCAGGCAUAGUAAGAUGCCUCCUUAAGUUUUCCUGAAUAAUUUUUAAUAAUGUACUUUUUGACAAGGUAUAAUGCCAGCCUCUAAUGAAAUAUUAAGUCGAAUUCCUUUCAAGCCAUUCACAUGAUACACCUAUUCCCUCCUAACAGAAUUGUGUGAUUGCUUUGUAUCUUACGGAACAUCUAAGUUCAGAAGUUUUAUAUAGGAAAAUUACAUCGUAGAAUCAACCUGAAAUUACACUCAAAGAUAAAACUAUUUUUAAGUGGUCUCAAAAUUUUCAACUUUUCUUAAAAGGAUUUUGUGUGUACAUCUCAUAUAUAUGUAUAUAUGUAUGCAUGUACCACAUGUCUGCCUAGUGGCUGCAGAGACCAGAAGAAUCAGAUUCCCCAGGAACUUGAAUUAUAGACAUCGUGAUCCGCCCUUUGAGGUUCUGGGUAUGAAACUAGGUUCUUUGCAACACCACCAAGUGCUCUUAAGUGCUAAACUAUCUCUAGCCCCGAAAACUUUCAACUUUUAAUUCAAAAGAUGGUUUUUCUUCUAAGACUUUAGUUUUUAUUAUGGUACUUUGUAGCUCCAGGGCUGUGUGUAGAUAUUUUUUCAUCUUUGGGAGCUAAAGUCUAAUUUUGGUAAUUUCUUGACUAGCUGUUCAUAAAUCUCAGCGUGGAGGUUCUUGCAAGGUGUCCUUGAACAAGAUCCACUGUGUACACUGUGAUUCUAAAGCACAGCUAAAUUGGGAGAUCAAGGUCACAUUUGUCCUCUUACAAGGAGAAAGUUGAGAAUUAAGUGUUUUACUACCUCCUGUCAACAUAUAAUUGCACCUGGCCUAGGCACCCAUCUUAGCUAUUAUGUCCAUGUACAGUAUUUUUUUUUUUUUUUGAGACAGGGUGUCUCACUCUGUGGCUUUACUGGCCUUGAAGUUGUUUUGUAGACCAGGCUGGACUUCAAUUAAGAGUCCUGUGGACUCUGCUUCCCAAGUACUGGGAUUAAAGGAAUGCAUGAUAGUCCAUGUACUGUGUUAAUCUUACCACUUUUUUUUCAUUUUUUUAAAAAAUUUUAUUACAUCUUAUUAACUCUAUCCCAGCUGUAUCCUACUCCCUCAUUCCCUCCCAGUCCCGCCCUCCCUCAUCUCCUCCCUGCCCCUUUCCAAUUCCACUGAUUGGAGAGGACCUCCUCCCCUUUCAUCUGACUCUGUUUUAUCACAUUUACCACAUUUUUUUGUGACUUAACCUACCAACAUUUUCUUUUCCUCUUGGUAAUUCUUUCUCCAUCUACCAGUAUUUUAUCUAGGGACCUUUUCUUGGCCUAAGUAUUUGGUAGUAGCUGUCAGUGUUCUUGCAAGAAAAAAGAUGUGUGGCAGGAAAUGUGGCCUACAUUAUUGGGUGGCAUAAUUCUCCCAUGGCAAUGUUAAUGUAUACUAUCAUCAGCUGUGCUGGUGUAUCAUGCAUUUAUAAUUUGGUGCUGAAUUGAGACUAUUAAGGAGGGUUUUGUUUUCUAGUGUGUCUAGGAAUUUUGCUUGCACAUGUGGCCAGAAGCGUCCCCUGGAACUGUAGAUACAAGAUGGUUGUAAAUUGAGGUGUGCGUGCUAGGAAUCAAACUGGGAUCCUCUGAAUUAGCAGCCAGCACUAUCUCCCCAACUUUCACCUCUUUGCAUUUGGUAAUCUCUUUAAAAUGGACAGUAUUCAUUUAAAAUGUCUAGUGAUUACUUCAUAAUCAGUGUAACACAGCUGAUUUUCUUAAAAAUUACUACUGUUCACAACAGGUAGUGUAAUCACAGCACUGAGGGAAGCAGAGGAAGGCUGAUCUCUGAAUUUAAGGCCAGCCCGGCCUACAAAGUCAAUCCAGGACAGCCAAGGCUACCUAGAGAAACCCUGUCUCAGAAACAAAACAAAAACCUGUACAGUUUAACCUGUAAAUUUUUUGGAAAAAUAAGGGCUGGAAAGAGAGCUUAACAGUUAAGAGUGUAGGCUAUUACUUUCAGAAAACCCAAGGUCCGGGCUCCAGUAUCUGUACAGCAGCUCACAACUGGCUGCAACUCCAGUUCCAAGGAAAACUCCUUGGGUACCACAUACACGGGUGAACCACAGACAUACAUACAGGCAUUCCAUGUGACCCCAUUUUUAAAAUUUUUAACUAUUUCAAGCCCAACUCUGCAAUUUGAUAUGCAUUUCGUUUUUACACUCUUAUAGACUACUUCUAUAAUUUAGUCCCUAAAAAUUCUCCAAUAUUUUGGUAUGCCUGUUUCAAUUUUAAAUUUACCUUAGUUACAAAGUAAGAUAAAACCAGGCUUCACACUGUGCUUUUGGAGUGGCUAAAUUUUAUUCAUGAACUAGAGUGCUCUUUGGUGCUGUAACCAAAGAAAUCACAUGAAGAAAGCCUGCCAAGUCACACCAUAAAACAUUACAAGUCUUAAUAUUGUGCAGUGUAUUAUGUCCUAUAAAUGGUAGAAUAUAUCUACUAGUAUGGCUCACAGCUGGCACUGCAUGUUUUGAAACACAUGAAAGACAUAAAGGUCACAUUCUAAAGUCACUCAAGAAAUACAAACAAAGGUUGUUCAUUCAAUUUAUUACAUGUAUGAAUAUUAACAUCUCAUGGUAUCCAUCUAAUUCAAUCAAAACCAACAAAGAAAAAAGUUAACCAUGUUUUUCAUAUGAACAUUCUUACACAGAAUCCCUGUAACUUAAAAUAGAAAUAUGUUCAUCUGCAUUAAAUUGACAAUUUGAAAAAUAUUUUCUAAAAAAAAAAUCA